rnacentral:rRNA from 1 species
CUCCUAGGAAACGGGUGGUAAUAGCCGGAUGUUCCAGUUGAUCGCAUGGUCUUCUGGGAAAGCUUUCGCGGUAUGGGAUGGGGUCGCGUCCUAUCAGCUUGACGGCGGGGUAACGGCCCACCGUGGCUUCGACGGGUAGCCGGCCUGAGAGGGCGACCGGCCACAUUGGGACUGAGAUACGGCCCAGACUCCUACGGGAGGCAGCAGUGGGGAAUAUUGCACAAUGGGCGCAAGCCUGAUGCAGCGACGCCGCGUGAGGGAUGGAGGCCUUCGGGUUGUAAACCUCUUUUAUCGGGGAGCAAGCGUGAGUGAGUUUACCCGUUGAAUAAGCACCGGCUAACUACGUGCCAGCAGCCGCGGUAAUACGUAGGGUGCAAGCGUUAUCCGGAAUUAUUGGGCGUAAAGGGCACGUAGGCGGUUCGUCGCGUCCGGUGUGAAAGUCCAUCGCUUAACGGUGGAUCCGCGCCGGGUACGGGCGGGCUUGAGUGCGGUAGGGGAGACUGGAAUUCCCGGUGUAACGGUGGAAUGUGUAGAUAUCGGGAAGAACACC